UACAGGGGGGGCAAGCGUUGUUCGGAAUUACUGGGCGUAAAGGGCCAGUAGGCGGCCAACUAAGUCCGACGUGAAAUCCCCAAGCUUAACUUGGGAACUGCGUCGGAUACUGGAUGGCUUGAAUUCGGGAGAGGGAUGCAGAAUUCCAGGUGUAGCGGCGAAAUGCGUAGAUAUCUGGAGGAAUACCGGUGGCGAAGGCGGCAUCCUGGACCGACAUUGACGCUGAACGGCGAAAGCUAGGGGAGCAAACGGG
rnacentral:rRNA from 1 species